GAGGUGCAGCUGGUGGAGUCUGGGGGAGGCUUGGUACAGCCUGGGGGGUCCCUGAGACUCUCCUGUGCAGCCUCUGGAUUCACCUUUAGCAGCUAUGCCAUGAGCUGGGUCCGCCAGGCUCCAGGGAAGGGGCUGGAGUGGGUCUCAGCUAUUAGUGGUAGUGGUGGUAGCACAUACUACGCAGACUCCGUGAAGGGCCGGUUCACCAUCUCCAGAGACAAUUCCAAGAACACGCUGUAUCUGCAAAUGAACAGCCUGAGAGCCGAGGACACGGCCGUAUAUUACUGUGCGAAAGACACGGACUGUGUCCCUGUGUGAUGCUUUUGAUAUCUGGGGCCAAGGGACAAUGGUCACCGUCUCUUC
rnacentral:lncRNA from 1 species